GAUGAAGAACGCAGCGAAAUGCGAUACGUAAUGUGAAUUGCAAAUUCAGUGAAUCAUCGAGUCUUUGAACGCACAUUGCGCCCUCUGGUAUUCCGGAGGGCAUGCCUGUUCGAGCGUCAUUAUCACCCCUCAAGCCCGGCUUGUUGUUGGAUGCAGCGCUUAUCCCGCUCCUCCCAAAGAUAAUGACGGCGUCUGCGACGACUCCUGUACACUGAGCUUUCGGGCACGUACACGGCUAGAAGUCCAGACCCGGUCGCCGUCCCCCCCGCGGGGACACCCAUUACCACAAGGUUGACCUCGGAUCAGGUAGGAAUACCCGCUGAACUUAAGCAUAUCAAUAAGCGGAGGA
rnacentral:misc_RNA from 1 species